GAUGAUGGGCUGAACAUUGGAUUUGGUGGGCUGCGCAAAGUCCUCUAAAAGGGCCCACCAUAAGGAGCAUGGGAGGCCCAACUAAGGUUUGUCUUCGUCCCCACCGGUCUACCCUUCCGAUUAGCGGCGGGUCGAACAAGUCUCCCAUGUGACGGUGGUUUCCUUGCCUCCUUGGCAACCGACAAUAUUGGACUCGGACGGCUCCAAGAUUAGGGAGGACGGGACGGAGAGGACCACAUAAUAAGGAGUUGAUGAGCGGCUGGACAACCAAGACUACGAGGAAAGAACAGAGAUGCCGAAGCGGCCGGCCGACGCGCGUGGCGGCGGUGGCCGUUCAGCCAAGCUCCCUACUCGGCAACGGAGUCACCUCUACCUUGUCCUGGACGACUGGGAGAUGGGAAUACCUCCGGGCGCGGUGACGACAGCAGGUAACGGCGGCAGGACGAUGGAGGCGAGCUUCACCGGCCGCCGCAGUUUCCCCGUCUGGGUAGCCGCAGUUUCCCCCGAGACGGCGGCGUGGUGGUGGGCAACGGGGGAUUGGGGAAUGCGGAGCGUGGUGGAUUGGAGCAGGAGGGAGGGGGAUUUGAUCUCUGCGGGGUUUGGAAUUGGCACUUGAGCGCGAGGAAGCACCGACCUACCGUUGGGGCAAGCGCAACGCGGGGCUGUUUGCGGGUCCACAAGUCAGUCACACAAGUCUGGUGGCGCCAGCCCAUAUAGGCACAAUAUCUAUUUAUCUUUCGCAUUUUAUCUAUUCUUUACUUUGUUCGUUUGUUAAUUAAUUCCACAUUAUUAUCUACAUUAAUUCACAUAUAUGCAUGUAAGUACUCACUCAUGUUUGGUUACUCCUCCAUCAGUUUGUAACAUGUGUGUUCCUCAGUUCAAAAGGCAUGUUCCCAGAUUUCAAUUCAAAGGCAGGUAAAAAUAUACAAGAAUGGAAAAGGAGCUAGUAUAAUUUUUUAGUUUCCAA